UAACCUUAGAUUAAGUAGGAAUACUUACUAAACUUAAGUAUAUUAAUAAGUAAAAAAAAAGAAACUAAUAGGGAUUGCUUUAGUAAUAGUGAGUAAAGUAGUAAUAGCUUAAAUUUAAAAUCUAACCUUAAGCUUAAGUUAUAAUUUAUAGAGGAUGCUUUUAGUAUAGUACCUUCUAAGUUCUUUAGAAUAGAACGCUAUAGAGGGUAAGAGCCCUAUAUAGUUAGAUACUAAGCCUUUAUAAAGCUCUUUUAAUAAGUUAAGUAGUUUAGAAAUACUACUUAAAAUAGGAGGUAUAUUUCUUUUAAAGCUAAAUAUUAACUAAAGACCGAUAGUAUAUAAGUAAAGUAAUUAAAAGAUAAAAAGUACUUUAAAAAGAGGGUUAAAUAGUAUAUAAAAUUAUUAAAAGGGAAGCGCUUAUAACUAAACUUAUACUUAGUAAAUUACUUAGCUCUUAUAGUUAGGGUACUUUAUUAGUAUAAGCUAGUAUUAACUUAUUAUUAGGGAUAAAAGCUUUAGGAAUAUAGCUCUCUUUAGGGAGUGUUAUAGCCCGUUAUAUAAUACCCUUUAGUAAGCUAAGGUAUAUACUCUAUAAGGAUACUAACGUAAUAGUUAUUAGUAACCUAUCUUAAAAUAUAGAUUAAGGAGUUAACCUUAUAUAUAAGUAUUUAGGUAUUAAAUCCCUAUACUUAAUAAAAGUAAACGUAGGUAAGAGCUUUAGUAUAUUAUUAACUGAUCUUAAUGUUCUUAAAUAGAUUUAAGUAAGAGUAUAUAGGGUUAGACCUAAAAGAAGGUAAACUAUACGUAUAUAGGGUAAAGCUAGAGGAAACUUUAGUAGAGGCUUAUAGCGGUUCUAAUAUAUAAAUUAAUUAUUAAAUAUAUAUAUAGGGGCGAAAGAUUAAUUAAACCUUUUAGUAGUUAGUUUCUACUAAAGUUUCCCUUAGGAUAGUAGUAUUAAACUUAGUUUUAUAAGGUAAAGUAAAUAAUUAGGGACUUAAGGGCGCUAUAUUACCUUUAUCUAUUCUUAAACUUUAAAUAUAUAAGAAGCCUUUAUUACUUAAUUAAAUAUAGGUAUUUAAAUAUAUUAAUACUAAUAGGCUAUUUUUAAUAAGUAGAACUAAUAAUAUAGGAUAAACUAAACGUAAGGUUAAGGUACUAAAGUAAACGCUUAUUAAAUACUAUAAAAGGUAUUAGUAUAUCUUAAUAAUAGGACGGUAGCUAUAGAAGUUAGAAUCUAUUAAGGACUAUAUAAUAACUUACUUAUUAAAUAUAUUAGCCUUAAAAAUAGAUAGCGCUUAAGCGUCUUACUUAUACCUUACCUUUAGUAUAGAAACGAUAUACUAAGGAGUAAGUAAACGUAGAGGUUAGUAAUAAAGCUUAAGGUAUAAGCUUAAGUAGAACGGCCUUUAGUAUAGAUCUUAGUAGUAGUAGUAAAUACUUUAAUAAGAACUUAAAGGACUAAAGUAGGGAAAGGUUCUAUAUAAAUAGCGGUUAGAUAUAGGUUAGUUAAUCCUAAGCUAUAAGGAAGUUCUAUUUUAAAGGGGUACUUAUACCCUAUAUAGUAAAAGGGAAGUUAGUUAAUAUUUUAGUACUAAGAUAUAGGUUUUAUAUAGUAAUGUAACUAAACGUAGAGAUAAUAGUAAGGGCCUUAGGUAGAGUUCUCUUUUCUUUUUAACGGUCUAUUACCUUAAAAUCGGUUUAUUUAGAGCUAGGGUUUAAUAGCUAGAAGAGCUUAGUACUUCUAUUAGGUCCGGUACGCUUUUAACGUCCCUUAAAAAUCUAUAGGAAGGAAUAAUUCUUACGUUAGGUUAUACUUAUAACUAUAGUAGGUCUCUAAGGUAAAUAGCCUUUAGUUAAUAGAAUAAUAUAGAUAAAAAAAGUUAGUAAAAUAGAUUUAUAACUUUAGGAUAAGGAUUAGCUCUAAGGGUUAGGUACGUUAAGCUUUAAGUAGAUAGCUUAGGAGUAGGUUAUUACUAACUAAGUAACUAGUUAGAGGCUUUUAGUAUCUAAGUUCUAACGCCCUUAGUAGGCUUUAACUAUCUAACGUAUAGUUAAUAACUAACUUAGAACUAAUAUAGAUAAGGGGAAUUUAACUAUUUAAUUAAAAUAUAGUAUUAUAAUAGCUAAAAAGUAGUAUUAAUAUAAUAUAAUUUCUAUUUAGUACUCUAAAUAUUAAAGUAAAGUAAUUUAACUAAGUAUAGGUAAAUAAUAAGAGUAACUAUAACUCUCUUAAGGUAGCUAAAUACCUUAUUAUUUAAUUAGUAAUGUAUAUAAAUAGAUUAAUAAGAUUCCUACUAUCCUUAUCUACUAUUUAGUAAAACUAUAGCUAAGGGAAUAAGCUUAGUAGAAUUAGUAGAGAAAGAAGACCUUAUUAAGCUUAACUUUAGUUUAAUAUUAUAAAAAGAUAUAAGAGGUGUAGAAUAGGUAGGAGCUUUAGUACUAAUAAAAUACUACUACUCCUAUUAUUUUUUUACUUAUUUAAUAAAGUAGGGCUAGAUUUAUAUCUAACUUUUAGUUUUAAGGUCCUUUAUAAGCUAACUUAGGUUAAAGAUAUUAUUAAGUAGGGAGUUUAGCUAAAGCGGUAUAUUUAUUAAACUAUAACGUAGGUAUUUUAAAGGGGGCUUAUAGAAAAUAGAAAUCUUUAGUAAAAUAAAAGAGUAAAAGUCCCUUUAAUUUUAAUUUUUAGUAUAAAUAUAAACUAUAAAAGUAUAGCUUAUUAAUCCUUUAGUCCUUUAAAAUUUAAAGCUAGAGGUACUAAAAAAGUUACUAUAAAGAUAACUAGCUUAUAACGGCUAAGCGUUUAUAGUAACGUUACUUUUUAAUCCUUUAAUAUUAGCUCUUUUUAUUAUACUAAAGUAGAAUUUAGUAAGUAUUAAAUUAUUUACCUAUUAAUAGGGAACGUAAGCUAGGUUUAAACCGUUAUAAAAUAGGUUAGUUUUACUUUAUUAAUAACCUUAUUAUAAUAAUAAUUAAGCUUAGUAUAAGAGGAACUACUUAUUUAGAUAAUUAGUUUUUAUAGCUAUCUAACUAAGUAGUACUAUAACACUACUAUCUAUUAAAUAAUAACUAAACGCCUCUAAGUUAGAAUCUAUACUAAAACGUAAUAAUACCUCUUAUACGUAUAGAUAGAUAUAAAUAGGCUUUAACUUAACGUCUUAAUAAGUAAUUCCUUUAUUACUCUUAAAGUAAGUAGUAGUAUUUUAUAAAUUAUAAUUUUACUAUAAAUAAGGUUAAAUCCUUUAUAAAUAACUUAGAUAUAUAAAAGGGUCUUAUAAACAGUAGAGUAGCUUUAUUAUUAUAAUCUACUAAAAGUAAGCCCUCCUUUAUUUUAAUUUCC
rfam:Colletotrichum chlorophyti strain NTL11 CCHL11_scaffold64, whole genome shotgun sequence.